AUUGAACGCUGGCGGCAGGCCUAACACAUGCAAGUCGAACGAGUGGCGGACGGGUGAGUAAUGUCUGGGAAACUGCCUGAUGGAGGGGGAUCACUACUGGAAACGGUAGCUAAUACCGCAUACCAUCGGAUGUGCCCAGAUGGGAGUAGCUUGUAGGUGGGGUAACGGCUCACAUAGUCGACGAUCCCUCGCUGGUCUGAGAGGAUGACCAGCAACAAUGGAAAUGAGACACGGUCCAGACUCAGACGGGAGGAAGCAGUGGGGAAUAUUGCACAAUGGGCGCAAGCCUGAUGCAGCAAUGCCGCGUGUAUGAAGAAGGCCUUAGGGUUGUAAAGUACUUUCAGCUGGGAGGCGUUACCCGCAGAAGAAGCACCGGCUAACUCCGUGCCAGCAGCCGCGGUAAUAC
rnacentral:rRNA from 1 species